rnacentral:lncRNA from 1 species
AUGGCCCUCACUGCCAGCCAGGCUUGGGGCUGUCACCUGGACUCCUGUGAAUUCUCACGAGUACUUUUGGAUUUCCAAAACUGGUAUCACAAUGCAAGUUCCAACUUGAGAGCAGGAAAACAAGAAUAUACAUCGAGCACACGUAUCUUUGUGAGAAUGUGUGUGGAAGGUGUAUACACAAGUCUAUCUCUCUAUAUAAUUAUGUACACAUAUAAAAACUCAACAUGUGACACUGGAAUUACGUUCGUACGUUGGUCUUUACCUUCUGGAAGAGGAGCUCAGUGGGAAUGCUGCUUCCUCUUGCUUCACCUGAAGAUAAACUUCUCUCUGAAGAUCAGCUCUGACACACAGUCUCCUCAGCUGUGUGACAGGCUCACUGGACCCAGCAUCAGUGAGUCCUGCCAGGUCCCUGCUGCACUUAGUGGCUGCCAUUUUGGAUUAGUUUCUGAGAAGCUCCAAAUUCAACAUAAUAACUUGUUGGGAUCCUGCUUUAUGGUGGAAUUUACUCCCUACUGUACGCCAGAUAGUCAUUUAGCUUGUCUCUGACAAGGCUAACAGCGGCCUGGAGGAAGAGCCAGGGUUCACUGAUUUUGGCCAGAGUGGCUGCCCUCUGCCUGGCUUUGUGCAGACUUGGAGUUUGUGAGUUUGGAUCUAUUUGGAAUGCUGGUCAAGCAGCAGCAUCACUUAGUGAAAGAGGGUUCUUUUCAAAGAUUUUACAGAUAGGUCCUCAGGACUAAGGCCUUCUCAGAAAUGAGUCAAAAAUGGCCAGGACGGCUCUCUGGAAAGCCUUCUGGGGACCCCACCUCAGCCCUACCCUCAAGCGGCUGGAGUGCUGCUACAGUAUCUGCAAAGGUCUGUGCACAAAAACGUCAACUGCCCUGCUCCAGGGAGACAGAAAUACGUCAAGGGGUCAGCUUUUCCAAAUCAGCACUCAGUAUUAGCAACCAAGGAUCGGCAAACAUGCAUCUUCCCGGUGGCAGGUCUGCAGACCCUCCCUUCCCCCACCACAGACGGGCCAGUCCUGUGUGGAGCAGGCCCCAGCUUCCCUGGCAUCCAAGGAGGAGGGCUUCAGGGGCACACACUGAGGUUCCUUCUGCCCUUCCCUCAGCUUCAAACCAGACACGUUUGCUGAUCGUUGGACGGCUUGGUUAAAACAUUUUCAUGACUACAUAUGGUGCCCCCAGUCUAUAAACUACACCUUGCCCCAGCCCACAGUUGCCAACAGCACCCCGUCCUUCCUUCCUGCCCAUGACCUCUUGCUCUGCCAGUCACUGGGUGGACCACAGAGCAUAGACGGUUGCCUGUGGCAAGUGUCCUCCACCCCCUUCAAGGCUUUUCAGGGAGGGGAAAGAGGCAGAAGUGAUCCCAGUGGGCUUGGCCUGGGCUCCCUGCAGUUCACAGGCCUUUCUUCAGCUCGGGGCUGUGGCUUGUGUCCUACUCUGGCCACAGAAGGACGGAGUCAGAGCUGCCUCUUCAGAGCCUGUUUCAUUCCAUCAGUGUUUGAUUUAACUACGGAGGGCCUCUUUGGUGAGGCUUGGUUGGUCUGGGCCAGACAGCCUAGGGAUUGGAGCCUAAACAAAUUGCCCAGUUAAUUGUUUAAAUUUAUUGGUCUGGGGGUGGGAGGAGGGCAGAGGUGGUGAACCAUUAAAAGAGGACAGGAAGGAGGAGGUGUGUGGAAAAGGUUCUCUGUAAGUUUACAAAUAUACAAAAACAAAAAAAAGCACAUCUUUCAAAUAAAAAUGACUACAUUUUUAUCUGGCAAAAAGUUGUAUACACAUGAUUUAAAUUUUUUUUUAAAUUUUAAGUUUUUGGCAAUCUUAAUAAAGUACAAUAUAUUACAACCAAACCAAAAAAUAGUUGUUUAAGUAACAGCUGUUAAGAGUGACAUGAUCCCUGAUGCCCAGCCUCCCUCCCCACCCACCCGACUCCUAGAGACAGAGAGAAAAGAAAACUCCUCCCAUCUGGAUAAGCUCAUCUCCCACCCCCCUUAGGAAGCUAACCAAUAGGAAGCAACACAACAAGCGAGUAGUGUCAAAGGAAGCCGGGGUCAGGCUGCAUUAGCAGGAGCAGCCACCCUCGCUGGCCGGGGGCUCCUGGGGUUUGUCCAGCUUGAUGUCAAUCACUGCAGGAGCGGGGCUAAGGAAAAUGACUCCCGGAGAAGCUCCCACCUGGCUCCCGCCACGGUACCCACUCAGCUGCCCUGCACAGCCCCUCUGUCCCUCCGCAAGCACCCAGGGGCUCGCACUUCAUUUAGCCUGGGUGGGUAGGAUGCAGGCUCCCCAGGUCCCACCCUUCCUCCUCCCAGACCGUCCCCCACAACCUUACCUCUGUCUACCAGAAGCAAAGCUUGUCCUGGGGCUGUGGGACCACUACGGAAACACAGGCUAGCCAGACCCUUUCUCAAAAGCCCUCCUGGUGGGGAGCCUCGGCCUUGUUCCCUGUCAACUGCACCCCGAAGUGCACAGGAGGUGCAGAGCCUGCCGGCUGGGUGUACAGCCCACCUCGCAAGGCCCAGGUGGGCACAGCAACUCUGACCCCCUCACUUCAAGCUCCAGUUAGAGGUGGUCUUAGACUCUGAGCUUGCUGCUGUGAGAAGCCACAACCCCUCUAUAGCCCUUUCCAUGGAUGCCCUGGGGAGUGUGGGUUGGAGGAGCACCAACCGCCAGAGCUGGGUGGAAGCGGUCCUGCUAGGGGAUCAGCACCCACGUCCCAAGGAGGUUUUGUGGCCCCUGUGUAAGGGCGGUGGGAGAGGUGCUUCAGGAGUCAAGUAGCAUAAAAAACCAUGCUUCCCUAAAGACACCUUGCCUUUUCCCUCCUUACCACUUUUUUUGCUACUGGCCAUGGCAUAUAUUCUGUCGUUUUUGAGACUGCCUCCAAGUACUGCAUUUUGGACUCUUGUUGACCAUGAUGGCUACUCCAUUUCUUCUGAGGGAUUCCUGCCCGCAGUAGUAGAUGUAAUGGUCAUCUGAGUUAAAUUCACCCAUUCCAGUCCAUUUUAGUUCACUGAUUCCUAGAAUGUCGACGUUCACUCUUGCCAUCUCUUGUUUGACCACUUCCAAUUUGCCUUGAUUCAUGGACCUGACAUUCCAGGUUCCUGUGCAAUAUUGCUCUUUGCAGCAUUGGAUCUUGCUUCUAUCACCAGUCACAUCCACAACUGGGUAUUGUUUUUGCUUUGGCUCCAUCCCUUCAUUCUUUCUGGAGUUAUUUCUCCACUAAUCUCCAGUAGCAUAUUAGGCACCUACUGACCUGGGGAGUUCCUCUUUCAGUAUCCUAUCAUUUUGCCUUUUCAUACUGUUCAUGGGGUUCUCAAGGCAAGAAUACUGAAGUGGUUUGCCAUUCCCUUCUCCAGUGGACCACAUACUGUCAGAAAUCCUGGAAUGUGAAGUCAAGUGGGCCUUAGAAAGCAUCACUACGAACAAAGCUAGUGGAGGUGAUGGAAUUCCAGUUGAGCUAUUUCAAAUCCUGAAAGAUGAUGCUGUGAAAGUGCUGCACUCAAUAUGCCAGCAAAUUUGGAAAACUCAGCAGUGGCCACAGGACUGGAAAAGGUCAGUUUUCAUUCCAAUCCCAAAAAAAGGCAAUGCCAAAGA